UGUAGCUACAAAUAUCUUCGCUUUCCUCCUCCCUCUCAACACCUCUCCAGUACUCCCCUUCGUGCCGCCGCCCUCCCCGUCCUCUCCGUCCCCUGUGCAGCGCUCCGUUCUCGCGCUCGCCCACCGAUCGACCGCCUCCGGCGCGUCGCCAGGUCCCUCGCACCGCUCCAACGUCCGGCCCGUUGCUUCCCCUCGCCGUCUCCUGCGUAAAGCGACGCUCUCGCGCUCGCCCGCCGACCGCCUGCCUCCGCCACGCCGCCGGGUCCCUCGCGCCGCUCGAGCGCCUGGGUUCUUCAACGCCGGCUUCAGAUCCAGGGUCAGAUCAAAACUGGAGCUCCCUGCCGAUCUGAGCAUCUUGCCAAGUACAAUCAGGCAAGUGAUUCUUAUGUGGUGUAUUGCAAUAUAAAACCUAUUUUUGUGGCUCUCCUCUCUCUCUCUCUCUCUCUCUCUCUCUCUCUCUGCAAUGAUGGCCAUUGUUUCAUCUCCAACUACAGCAAGAACAUGCCUGCUCCUCUGCCAGGUCAUAAUUUUCCCUCUACCUUCAUUGGUUGGAUUGAUCUGUACGAUGAUACGUACAACCUACCAUGUGUUUGUAAAAUUAACAUUGCACGUAAUCCAGUUUUUUGUUUGGUUAUCUAGAACAUCCUCUUUGCUUUGUGAUACGAUGAAUAGCCAUGCUUAUCAAAUUUAGUAGAGAAUAGUUCUACUAGCAUCCUACUGCCCCAUCAUACUACAUGAAAAAUUCCCUAACCAGGAUAAUAAUUCAGUAUGGCAUGUAAUUUAUAUUUUUCUUUUUGCUUCCCAAGUUUUAGUUUUCUUUUCUUUUUCACCACUAAGGCAUCAUGAAGUUUUCCUAAUUUAUGUGCCGAUCUACAUGAUUAAGUAGUAUAUGUUUGCUAUACAUAUGAUCAAAAUCUUCAAAAUAAACUUGGAAUGCUGGCUUAAAUGUUGCUUAUUUCUAUAUGUUAAAGCUCCACGGCUCCGCCGCAAGCCAUUGGUCCACGACAGCAAAAAAUCAAUGGUCCACGCGAUUUACAUCGAACGGUUGGAGGCGCUGCUUCCAUCACGCAGGCUUUCUUGUUUGCUCGAAUCUUCUCCGGUCCUCCCGUCCUCUCUCCUUCCCUGUCCCCCGAGCCUUAUCCUCUCUUUUUGCAUUUCCUCUUUCUCCUUCCGUCUUCUCCCUUUCACUCCCUCUCAUGGCGAGCUCCUUCCGUCCGCCUGCCCUCUACCCCCGCGACCUCCAUUCCUUGGCGAGCUCCGUCCGUCCUGGCAUCCACGCACGGCUCCUGCCAUUCUUCCCUAACAGUCGCCGUUGAAUGUGGCUCAGAUCUUGCUCCAUCCGUCCAUGCGCCUUGGUCCUGCAAUGUGGUCAUUGAUGAUGGCCAUCCGCAGCUGCAAUUAAUCUGCUCAUGUCUAGGUUCCUGUGGCUGCUGUGCUAAUUCAUAUACCUUCUUAGACAGGGCCAGUUGUUAUCUACAGACGUAAACAGUGGGAACUCAUCUGCCUCAACGAGAGGGGGGGGGGGGGGGGCACUACUACCUCGCUCAUACCUUCUACAUCAACUCCAUCAUUACUGCCCUAGGAAGGAGAGCUUGAACACCUGCAUCAUCACAAAUACACCAUGUUCAUAAAUGGACCUUCUCCAAUUGCCCAAACGAAUCCUAACAUUACGCAGACUCAGAUCGUGAGCCAAAAGAACUGGUAGUUUACUCCAACGGUCUUCCAGCAGCUGACGUGAUCUACACCCAUGAAGAUGCCCGAUCAAGAUGGUUGGAAGCGAAACAUUGCAAUAUGAAAGAGAAACAUUGCAACAUGAGGAAGAUUUUAUCUCGGAGAUGUAGGCAAUGGUGCUGCUUCUGAAGCUCAUCGUCAACAUGGUCAUGGGAAGGUGACGCAAAAUCAUUCACAUUCUUCAGCUUUGCAAUAAAAUGAUUUAGCGCAUAUCAUGCUAAUUACACAUUUGAUUAUAACUAUCAACUCUGAUUUUGACUUGCUUACCUACAUCUCCUUUCUUAGUCCUUUUUCAUGCCCAGGGAGAUAUUAAUUAUGGUCCUAAAUUAAAAUUAGAAAGUCCCUUCUUCAGCUAAAGCUUAUUGUGGUUUGUAUUUCCCUUUUCCUCAUUGUUAUUUAAAUUCUGAAUACCCUACUAGGUUAAAGCUUUUUUCUGAGCCUCAGACUUCAGAAUUACAAAGCUAUUUUCCAUGGCAAUACUGCUUGUGGGUUCAUAGUCUUCAGUCUUGACCUCCCUAGCAACAUCAAAUUUCCCCUUAAACUACUGAUACACAUUAUUGUAACAACUACUUAACUGAUUCUGUUUUCCCCUUUUUAGGGCAUGAAAACCUUUAUCAGAUAGAAGAUCCUGCGGUAUGAUUUUAUUUCAACCCGAAUUUUCCGCGGCAUGCAGAUAGAAGAUCUCUGCCUAGCUGCAUAUGGGGAUUUGAUUUUUGUUUCAGUAUCAGAUCGCUUCUAUAAUGCUGGAUGGGUGCCAGUAUUAUGCUGGGUUGAGUUUGUGCCCCCAUCCCCCUUCCAGUGGAAAUUUUGCUGCUGCUGUAUUUAACAUCCUAAGGUUAUUUUGACUUUUUUCUUAUAUGUUGCUCAUGUAGGUCAAGUACCUCGGAGAAGAAGGUGAAAGCACCCCUGCUGCUGGUGUUACAUUUAUUUGCUCACCCUGGGAGAUGCUGAGAAUGCUGGAGUGAUUGUGAACCCAAAGGGAGAGAUGAAAGAAGCAAAGCAUAGGAAAAGAAUGCCAUUCUACUGUAUUUGGGGUGACUUCACGGUGACCUGCUCAUCCUUCACGUACAACUCUGAACUGUACCUGUCUGCCUCCGAUUUUGACCGCCCCGUCUUCUUUUCCCAUCAAGGCUGCUGGAUUGGCGACUGCUGCAGGGGUUGGAAUGGGUGCUGUUGGUGCAGUGGGGGUCCCUCGCCGCCUGCCUCGUUUGCGUCGUGCGCGUCGCAGAUUCUUACUUCGGCUUCUCCCUUUCACAUUUGCCCCUGUGAACGGCUGGUUGAAGCGUUUGUGCGCAAAGAAGUCAUUUCGCAUGUAUUAUUAUCAUGGCCUUCUAUGUUGCUUUAAAAUUAUUUUCUUAUGGACUGUGGUGGUCUCAUUUGCUGCUCAUCAGAGUCUUCCAGUAAGCAUGUAUCCUUUGGCGAGGAAAAAAAUAUGUACAUAUAUAAUGAACUGAAAAAUAUACUUGCAUCCUCCCA